UGCAGUCGAGCGGUAGAGAGAAGCUUGCUUCUCUUGAGAGCGGGGACGGGUGAGUAAUGCCUAGAAAUCUGCCUGGUAGUGGGGGAUAACGCUCGGAAACGGACGCUCAUACCGCACACAUCCUACAGGAGAAAGCACGGGACCUUCGGGCCUUGCGCUAUCUCAUAAGCCUAGGUCGGAUUAUAUCUUUUGUGAGGUAAUGGGUCACCACGGCGACAAUACGUAACUGGUCUGAGAGGAUGAUCACUCACACUGUAACUGAGACACGGUCCACACUCCUACAGGAGGCGGCACUGGGGAAUAUUGGACAAUGGGCGAAAGCCUGAUCCCCCCCUGCCCCGUGUGUGAAAAAAGUCUUCGGAUUGUAAAGCACUUUUUGUUGGGAGGAAAGGGAUUAACCUAAUACAUUGGUGUCUUGACAUUACCGACAGAAUAAGCACCGGCGAACUCUCUGCCACCACCCGCGGUGAUACACAGAGUGCGCGCGUUAAUCGCAAUUACUGGGCGUAAAGCGCGCGUAGGUGGUUCGUUAAGUUGGAUGUGAAAUCCCCGGGCUCAACCUGGGAACUGCGUUCUCAACUGACAAGCUAUAGAAUGGUAUAGAGUGGUGGAAUUUCCUGUGUAGCGCGGAAAUGCGUAUAUAUAUGAGAGAGCACCAGUGGCGAAAGCGACCACCUGGACAGAUACUGACACUGAGGUGCGAAAGCGUGGGGAGCACACAGGAUUAGAUACCCCUGGGAGUCCACGCCCUAUACAAUAUCUACUAUACCCUGGGAGACUUGAGCUCUUAGUGGCGCACCUCACGCAUUAAGUUGACCGCCUGGGGGAGUACGGCCGCACAGUUAAAACUCACAUGAAUUGACAGGGGCCCGCACAAGCGGUGGAGCAUGUG
rnacentral:rRNA from 1 species